GGGGGUGCCAGGGUUCGACGGGCGGAGCGCGGCUGGCGACCGCGCGGCGAAGCCCGGACGGCGGUUCGAUUCCGCCCACCUCCA
rnacentral:sRNA from 1 species